UACGAAGGGUGCAAGCGUUACUCGGAAUUACUGGGCGUAAAGCGUGCGUAGGUGGUUCGUUAAGUCUGAUGUGAAGGCCCUGGGCUCAACCUGGGAACUGCAUUGGAUACUGGCGAUCUGGAGUGCGGUAGAGGGUCGCGGAAUUCCCGGUGUAGAGGUGAAAUUCGUAGAUAUCGGGAGGAACACCGGUGGCGAAGGCGGCGACCUGGGUAGAUACUGACGCUGAGGUGCGAAAGCGUGGGGAGCAAACAGG
rnacentral:rRNA from 1 species